GUUGUGUUGCCGGAGAGGGCUUUUAUCUAUAGUUCCAAGAGAGAGAGAGGUGGUUGUGUUGCCAGAGAGGGCUUUUAUCCAUAGUUCCAAAAGAGAGAGAGGUGGUUGUGUUGCCAGAGAGGGCUUUUAUCCAUAGUUCCAAAAGAGAGAGAGGUGGUUGUGUUGCCAGAGAGGGCUUUUAUCUAUAGUUCCAAAAGAGAGAGAGGUGGUUGUGUUGCCGGAGAGGGCUUUUAUCCAUAGUUCCAAAAGAGAGAGAGGUGGUUGUGUUGCCAGAGAGGGCUUUUAUCUAUAGUUCCAAAAGAGAGAGAGGUGGUUGUGUUGCCGGAGAGGGCUUUUAUCUAUAGUUCCAAAAGAGAGAGAGGUGGUUGUGUCGCCGGAGAGGGCUUUUAUCCAUAGUUCCAAAAGCGAGAUAGCGGGUAUGGUUCCUUUAUUUUUGUAUGUUUAGUCAGCAAGUAUUACUGUUAAGCAUGUAUGACAAUAAUCUUUUUACCAAGACCCCUCUGUCAACCCACU
ensembl:lncRNA